ACAGUUGGCAUAUUGAGUAUCAAUUGGUAAAUUUAUUUUUAAUAUUAAAUCUCUUCACUCUCUAUUUGACAUUUUUAUCAUAAAACCUACGAAGUCAAAACUAAUGCACAUUUUUUUUUCUAAUGCACUUUUUUUUCUAUUGUACUGUAUAAAAUAAAUUUAGAUAAUAGAAAUUUUAUUAUAUUAUAAUGAGAAAUAACAAAGAUUUCUAAAGUUCUAAUAUAAUAUCCAUAAUAGAAUACCACUCACUAUUCUAACCUCAAGAUAUUAAUAAAGUGUCACUUAAAUACUUCUCCUUCCUCUCAAAUCAAACAUUACCUUAGUUGUAACUAAUUCUUAUUUUUAUAUAAUAAAUAAUAAUUAAUAAUUUAAAAAGUAAUAUAACCAUUAGAAUUAAUUACUUGACUUUACUAUUGUAUAUUAUUUAUGGAAAGAUGAGUAAAAUCAGGCCGUUGAUAAAAUAAAGUAUAUAUAAAUAGGAGACAAACAAAUUUAGAUAUCCAAUAAUUAAUCUAAUUAUUUCUAUGAAUACCCGUUUAUUAUUCAGAUCACAAAUAAACCUAAUGUUAUAUUUUUUAUGUAAUUUUAUAUUUUUAUGCGUGUAUUUUUCUACUAUCCCAAUUUUAAUAUUUACAAAAAUUUAAAAGAGAAAGUGGAGUACAAGUUAGGUGUUUUCAUAAAAACAUUAAAAUUGGAGAGUACGGUAUUUUUGUUAGGUUAUCCCAAUUUUAAUAUUUACAAAAAUUUAAAAGAGAAAGUGGAGUACAAGUUAGGUGUUUUCAUAAAAACAUUAAAAUUGGAGAGUACGGUAUUUUUGUUAGGUUCUUAAAAUUUAAUAUUGGUGAGGUUUCAGUUUAAUGUUUUGAAUUGAAAGAUAAUAUUGCUUAGGUUGUCUGUGUUUGGUUGGAUCUAUUCACAGUCGACAUAUUGAGUAUCAAUAGGUAAAUUUAUUUUUAAUAUUAAAUCUCUCCACUCUCUAUUUGACAUUUUUAUCAUAAAACUUACUAAAUCAAAACUAAUGCACUUUUUUUUUCUAAUGCACUUUUUUUUCUAUUUUACUGUAUAAAAUAAGUUUAGAUAAUAAAGGUUUUAUUAUAUUAUAAUGAAAAUAACAAAGAUCUCAAAAGGUCUAAUAUAAUAUCCAUAAUAGAAUACCACUCACUAUUCUAACCUCAAGAUAUUACUAAAGUGCCACUUAAAUACUUCUCCUUCCUCUCAAAUCAAACAUUACCUUAGUUGUAACUAAUUAUUAUUUUGAUAUAAUAAAU
rnacentral:lncRNA from 1 species